GUCCACGCUGUAAACGAUGGAUGCUGGGUAUGGGGUAUCGACCCCUCCCGUGCCGAAGUUAACACGAUAAGCAUCCCGCCUGGGGAGUACGGUCGCAAGACUAAAACUCAAAGGAAUUGACGGGGCCCGCACAAGCAGCGGAGCGUGUGGUUUAAUUCGAUGCAAAGCGAAGAACCUUACCUGGGCUUGACAUGCACAAAGUAGAAACCCCGAAAGGGCAACGACCUGUAAAGUCAGGGAUGUGCACAGGUGCUGCAUGGCUGUCGU
rnacentral:rRNA from 1 species